rnacentral:ncRNA from 2 species
ACACUCGCACGCACUUCUGGUGCUCGCGUGCGCGCUCUCGCGCACGCAGUUAAACGGGAAACAGGGUGCCCGCCUGCAACGACCGGGUCAACCUGUGCUGCCCCCGCAACGGUAAGCGAAAUGCGGCGUCCGGUUCAGUCUCCGGCGUCGCGGAGCCGGCUUCAAUGUCCACGCGCAAGGCCGCGUCGGCAUGUCACCACUGGGCGAGAACCUCCUCGCCCGGGAAGGGGAAGCGGCGCUUUCGCCAGCCCGGAUACCGGCCGGAACAUGCAGAGCGAA